rnacentral:tRNA from 1 species
GCCCAGGUGGCGGAAUUGGUAGACGCGCUGGCUUCAGGUGCCAGUGACCGCAAGGUCGUGGAGGUUCGAGUCCUCUCCUGGGCA